AUAAUGACAUGAUAGCUAAUCCAUACCCCUGCAUGAUUUUAUCUUCUACAGAAGGAGGCUGGCAAGUUUAAAGGGGACACCCUCAAAGAUCAGCCAGGGGAAACCACUUCUGGUUUCUCAGCUACCAGGAGGCAACCUGAACGUGUCAGGGCCUGGGCACGACACUUGCCUUUCUUGGAGGAGUGAUUUGAAGCCAUAGUGGAAAACUGGGCCUCUAUAAAAAACGAACGAGGACACUCUUAAUGGACAGAUACAAAACAAGCCCCAGGAGAAAGGUGUAUCAGCCAUUUUAAAUCUGCCCUCAAAAGCACAGAACAAAUCAGAUGGCAUUUUGCUCAUAGAGGAGAGGGUCUGUGAGAACCAAAUUCCAGCUUCAGCACAUGACCUUGGGUACAGAUGGAGGAAGCUAUUUGACCUGCAUCAGACUUUACGUGAACAAAAGGAUGUUGUUAUGUCCAAAGCCAUCUUGCCAUGAGCAGCCUGAGACUGGAGCCAAUGACUGAGGGUGGCAGAGUAGAAAGAUGGUAA
rnacentral:sRNA from 1 species